AGAGUGAACGCUGGCGGUAGGCCUAACACAUGCAAGUCGAACGGCAGCACAGUGGUAGCAAUACCAUGGGUGGCGAGUGGCGGACGGGUGAGGAAUACAUCGGAAUCUACCUUUUCGUGGGGGAUAACGUAGGGAAACUUACGCUAAUACCGCAUACGCCCUUUGGGGGAAAGCCGGGGAUCGCAAGACCUGGCGCGGAUAGAUGAGCCGAUGUCGGAUUAGCUAGUUGGUGAGGUAAUGGCUCACCAAGGCGACGAUCCGUAGCUGGUCUGAGAGGAUGAUCAGCCACACUGGGACUGAGACACGGCCCAGACUCCUACGGGAGGCAGCAGUAGGGAAUAUUGGACAAUGGGCAAAGCCUGAUCCAGCAAUGCCGCGUGAGUGA
rnacentral:rRNA from 1 species